UAUUUCUAUCAGAGAAGCAGAACUGCCAGGAGUGAUAAGGGAUAUGUUAUAGUUAAAUUCACUGUAAUCAUGGAAAUUUGUUGGGCAGGCUGUGUAGGCUGAAGCCUCUUUAUCUACCACCCAGACUUAAGUCAUAAUACAGGUCUGCCGGACUGACAGUCAGGAAGCAAAGCCAUGUGCGGAUGAGAGCAAGAACAAGCUGGGACCCACAGGUAGAGUUUGAACCCAGAAGGACAGCUGGAAUCUGAGGACACAUUGGAAUCCAUGUCUGUUAUCAUCUCCAACUUUGAUGGCUUUGGGGACUUGCAAGAGAAGCUGGCAUCAUUGUGAGGAAGCUAUGGACACAAUUGGCAUCGGGUUAGAAACCAAAGGAGCUAGGGGAGCUAUGGAUCUGGGUGCUGCUCUACACCAAGGGUUUCCCAAAAUGUCAUUUUAAUCUUAGCAGAAUGCUGGUGGAAGGAUACCACAAGCAUGAAAACCUUUGUAAAACAAGACUAUCCAUCUACAGCAUAUUUUGUUUGAUGUGAG